UGGGAAAAAAUCGGGGGAUGUUAGUCACCUGAGCUGCUAAAUUCCCAACCAUGAUGUUGAAGCCUGCCUUCCUCGUCCUUUUGGCCUAUUGCACUGGCUUCGGUUCUCAGGCUGCCUUGACUCAAAGCGGACCUGUUUCGGUGGCUCUGGGAGAGACGGCAACCGUCUCCUGUACUCUGCAAGAAGUGGAGUUUAUCAGCACCACCAGCCCAUCCUGGUACCAAGUGAAAACGGGAGAGGCUCCCCAGUUACUUAUCUACAAGUCCAGGGAAAGAGACUCGAGGGUCCCAGAGCGUUUCUCUGGAGAUACCCACGGCAAGACCGCAACACUGACCAUCGCUAGGGUCCAGGCAGAGGACGAAGGAGAUUAUUAUUGUGCCGUUUGGUUUAACGACAGGUGACACUGCAGUGCAGAGUGA